rnacentral:rRNA from 1 species
AGAGCGAACGCUGGCGGCGUGCUUAACACAUGCAAGUCGAGUGCGCGCCUGUAGCAAUACAGGUGGCGCACGGCGCACGGGUGCGUAACACGUGGGUAAUCUGCCCUUCGAUGGGGAAUAACUCCGGGAAACCGAAGCUAAUUCCGCAUAACAUUCCUUGGACCUCGGUCUGGGGAUUCAAAGCCGUAAGGCGUCGGAGGAGGAACCCGCGCACGAUUAGUUAGUUGGCAGGGUAACGGCCUACCAAGACUUUGAUCGUU